rnacentral:SRP_RNA from 1 species
GUGCUAGACGGGGAAUUAGUGGCUCCCUGUUACUCGGAAAUCCGCUCUACCGAGGUCGAAUUCCCACUUGAGGGUUUGUUUUGAUUUGUCGGGACAGUUAAGCAGUAUUGAGAAUUGGGUCUUGUACAACAGAAGCCUAUGAACCCGGUCAGGGCUGGAAGGCAGCAGCCGUAAGUAGUUUACUCCUGUGUGUUGCAAGGUUGCCCGGUUUGAGCCGGCUGGCUGAAACACUUGUUAAAAUAAAUUCGAUUGUGGGUGCACG